rfam:Gossypium hirsutum cultivar TM-1 chromosome 20, whole genome shotgun sequence
AACCUAUGGUGAGGGCUCCAUCUCAAUAAGUCUUUAUACCUUUCCGAUGCAUCAUAUAGGGUCUCUAAAUCAAUCUAAACAAAAGAAGAGAUAUCAUUCCUCAACUU